AUUGAACGCUGGCGGCAGGCCUAACACAUGCAAGUCGAGCGGAGCGGCGGACGGGUGAGUAAUGCCUAGGAAUCUGCCUGGUAGUGGGGGAUAACGUCCGGAAACGGGCGCUAAUACCGCAUCAUAUCAGAUGAGCCUAGGUCGGAUGAGCUAGUUGGUGGGGUAAAGGCCUACAAGGGCGACGAUCCGUAACUGGUCUGAGAGGAUGAUCAGUCACACUGGUACUGAGACACUGUCCAGACUCCUACGGGAGGCAGAAGUGGGGAAGAUUGGACAAUGGGCGAAAUCCUGAUCCAGCCAUGCCGCGUGUGUGAAGAAGGUCUUCGGAUUGUAAAGCACUUUAAGUUUGGAGGCGUGACCAACAGAAUAAGCACCGGCUAACUUCGUGCCAGCAGCCGCGGUAAUAC
rnacentral:rRNA from 1 species